CAAAGGCAAGAAAGAACUGGAAAGAAUAGC
rnacentral:piRNA from 1 species